GGUGUGGUGGCUAAGUGGUAAGGCGUUGGUCUUGUAAACUAAAGAGCACGGGUUUGAAUCCUGUCCAUGCCU